rnacentral:rRNA from 1 species
GAUGAACGCUGACAGAAUGCUUAACACAUGCAAGUCAACUUGAACUUCGGUUUGGGUGGCGGACGGGUGUGUAACGCGUAAAGAACUUGCCUCACAGAUAGGGACAACAUUUGGAAACGAAUGCUAAUACCUGAUAUUAUGAUUUUAGGGCAUCCUAGGAUUAUGAAAGCUAUAUGCGCUGUGAGAGAGCUUUGCGUCCCAUUAGCUAGUUGGAGAGGUAACGGCUCACCAAGGCGAUGAUGGGUAGCCGGCCUGAGAGGGUGAUCGGCCACAAGGGGACUGAGACACGGCCCUUACUCCUACGGGAGGCAGCAGUGGGGAAUAUUGGACAAUGGACCAAGAGUCUGAUCCAGCAAUUCUGUGUGCACGAUGAAGUUUUUCGGAAUGUAAAGUGCUUUCAGUUGGGAAGAAAAAAAUGACGGUACCAACAGAAGAAGUGACGGCUAAAUACGUG